UUUCCGUAGGGGAACCUGCGGGAAGGAUCAUUGUCGAACUUGCAAUGUAGUAUGACCUGCGAACGAGUUUUAGUCACUGCUGAUGGUGCUUUGUGCUCCUGAAGCAAAGGCCUCGUCGGGUGCUAUGCUCCUUACGGUGUGCCAUUUUAACAAACCCCCGGCGCGGAAUGCGCCAAGGAAAAUUAACAAAAAAAGAGAGAGCGCUACAAUCACCUCGGAAACGAUGCGUGCACGGUAGUUGCAUCUCUUUUCUUAUCGAAAACGACUCUCGGCAACGGAUAUCUCGGCUCUCGCAUCGAUGAAGAACGUAGCGAAAUGCGAUACUUGGUGUGAAUUGCAGAAUCCCGUGAAUCAUCGAGUCUUUGAACGCAAGUUGCGCCCAAAACCUUCGGGUCGAGGGCACGUCUGCUUGGGUGUCACGAAACGUCGCUCCCACUGAAUUCUUAAGGGUUUGUGAUUUUGGGGCGGAAAUUGGCCUCCCUUGAACUCAUCGUGGUUGGCCCAAAAAAGAGACCAAGUCGGUUGAUGACGUGGCUUUCGGUGGUUGAAAUUACCCUCACAAUGCCUCGUUUAUUUGCCGAACUUAUAAGGAUCUCAAAAUGGAAUCAAUAAAAAAUUCCCAUAUAUUGACGCGACCCCAGUCAGGCGGGAUUUACCCGGCUGAGUUUAA
rnacentral:rRNA from 1 species